CAGCGUGCUGUGUGCCAAGCCCAGGAGCAGCCGGAACUCCAGCAUCGAGGCCUUCGCUGUCUGUCAGGGCUAUGACCCUCCCGAGGGCUUCAUCCCGGACCUGAGCAAACCCCUGCUGGACCAUUCUUACGCUGGAUGGUCCCACCCGCAUCAUUGUGCCUUUUGUGACCUGUGGGGACCUGAGCUCCUAUGAUUCGGACCGCAGUUACCCACUGGACCUAGAGGGCAGCUCAGAGUACAAGUACACUCCACCCACACAGCCCCCCAUCUCACCACCAUACCAGGAGGCCUGCACGUUGAAGAAGAAGGGGCAGCUGGCCAAGGAGAUCCGCCCCCAGGACUGCCCCAUCAGCAGAGUGGACACGUUUUCCCAGCCCCUGGCCGCCCCUCAGUGCCACACCCUGCUGGCCCCUGAGGUCUGGAAAUGUGACUCUCAGCCUGCCUUGACCCCUUCCCCGUGUGCCUUUUUCUGACCCAAAUCUCAUGGUUUCUGGGGCCAAAAUUCCCUUUCCUGCCUCCCAAUAGCUAUAAAAAAUUGGUAAAGCCAAGCAUAAUGAAUGGAAAAGUUUUGCCAAA
rnacentral:sRNA from 1 species